GGCGCUAUCGUCUAUCGGUUAGGACAGCGGGUUUUCAUCCCGUAAAGCGGAGUUCAACUCUCCGUAGCGUCACCA
rnacentral:tRNA from 4 species